UUCGUCAUGUAGAUCUCCUGGCAUUUUUUUAAAGGGUAGAUUAAUUUAGGGGAGCUCUCGGAUCCAAUUUCCCCCGGCAAUGGCUCUAUUAGGCUGUGCACAGCAGAUACAGGCUCCCGUCCUCCUGCUGCUACUGAUGGAAUUUGAUUCCGCGCUGCCAAAUCUGCAGGGCUGCAAACACAUUCCCACUCCUGAUUAAUCCCCGUCCCCCGGGCUGCUGUGGGACCCGAGAUGCCUGCACGGCUCUCCGAGUGGUUUUGGAGAGGCAGAACCAGUUGCCCCGCGGGGACACAACUCCCACAGCGACGCUGCCUAUUCCCAAGCGCCACCUGAUGGCAUCACCGCCAGGAAGGAUUUGUUCGGCAGCGUUUAUACCGGCACAGACGCGAGAAUCACCUCCGACAGCAGGGAGGGUGGAAAUGGGAAACGGGGACGCUGAGAGCAGCCCUGGCUCAGGACCCUGCCCUGUGUCCAUCCCCGGGAUGGGGCAGAGCAAAGCCGAGCUCAGGGGAUGCACACCACGGCUCCCCUCUUCUUCUCAAGCCCAUCAAAGUUCUUCCAAGCUACCCAGGAGG